UGAGGAAUAUUGGUCAAUGGGCGCAAGCCUGAACCAGCCAUCCCGCGUGAAGGAUGACGGCCCUAUGGGUUGUAAACUUCUUUUAUACAGGAAGAAAAAUCCCUACGUGUAGGGACUUGCCGGUACUGUAUGAAUAAGCAUCGGCUAACUCCGUGCCAGCAGCCGCGGUAAUACGGAGGAUGCAAGCGUUAUCCGGAUUCAUUGGGUUUAAAGGGUGCGUAGGCGGCUUUUUAAGGCAGUGGUGAAAUCUUACCGCUUAACGGUAAAAUUGCCAUUGAUACUGAAGAUCUUGAGUACAAUUGAGGUAAGCGGAAUGUGUAGUGUAGCGGUGAAAUGCUUAGAUAUUACACAGAACACCAAUUGCGAAGGCAGCUUACUAAACUGUCACUGACGCUGAUGCACGAAAGCGUGGGGAGCGAACA
rnacentral:rRNA from 1 species